UACUCUUUUUAUCUGUAAUGUUACUUCCAUUAUUAGAAGUGAGACACUUUUGUUAAUUAUUUAUUUAAAGAGGAUUGUGAGAUGGUAAAGAGCCAAGUGUUUUAAGAAAAAAAAUCUUUGUAGAUCUAAGUGGUGUAUUACUUGUUGUAAAAACUGUACAUUGCAAAUGUUUUACAAUACUGAAUGCACCUUUCCUAUUAAAAUUAUUGGUUUCUUACCAGAAGUAUUUUAGUGGGAUUAAUAAGUCUAUAAAGAAUCUCUGAGGUUUUGGAAGCAUUAACUAUAUUUGGUAAUUUUGAGACUUGGCUUAUUGUGUAUAGAAGUAAAGGAUUUGAAUAGUCUAUGGAGUUUUUCCAGACUGGGGGGUUAGGGAAAGGAAAAUAUUAUAUAUUUAUGUUUUCUUAAAAUUUUAAGUGCUCUUCUGUCCAUUGCCCCAGCUUCCAAUAAAAUAUGUACAUUUUUUUUCAGGAUCUGUUACAGUUUCUCUGUGUAUAUAAGGACUAGCUCAGAAAUGCUGUUACAGCUUCUUCACAGUGUAUACUCUGUGAUGUGCCAUAGGCAGUGCUGAAUAUUUUUCUUUAUAGUAUCCUGUUUUGCUUAGUGCAGCCAUCAUGUAGCAUACCUCACAAUUUCUUGAACCAGGGGGAUAAGAAUACAGUAGUUACAUAUCUGCAUAACUAAAUGAAAGGGUGACAAAAUGCCAGAGAGGAAGGUACUGCACUGGACAUUGAGAAGAUUAAGUAAAAUGAAGAACCAACAAAUUUGACGAGACUGGGACAUGAAAAGCAGACCUACCUUAAGCAUGGCAUGUGGAACAAAGCUUUUAGAGAGCUUUGUGAAGGUGGUGGGAGUAGUGACUUUGCCCUUUGUGACCACUGAUGUACGUGUGCUGUUACGUCAAGAAGGCAAGAAAUCAUCCAGCUUUUUAGCAACGGAAGUAGCAUGGCUAUAAGGGAGAAGAGGGAUAUAUCCUAACCUUACUCAGUAGUCAAGCUAAUUUAUCAAGGUAAAUAAUCUCCUGUGUCUUAGAAAAACAUAGGCAUAAUUAGUUUAUAAUCUAAAUAUAUCUUCAGCUUUAGAAAACAAUGUUAUGUACUUCUGAUGAGCUGUCGAGCUAGACUGAUUAUUAAUCAGAGAAAAUAAUUGUUUUAAAAACGUGUACUUCCUUAAUUUCUCUCAUUUCUUAACUUUCUUGAAUUCUGUUUUUAAACAAUAAAGAUUAAAGUAGUCCUAAUAACUAGCUUUGU
rnacentral:lncRNA from 1 species